GGGUCAAUUAGGGCUUCUCAGGGAAUUUCCUCCUUCACAUGAGGGAUUUCUCUUGAUUCUGCACCUGACUGUUUUAUUAUGUUCCUAAAGUAUUUUUUUUUUGUUUUUAAAAUAUUGUUCUAGUCUCGAGAAACAUUCCUGGGUCUAGAAAAUUCAGUUUCCUCUAUUGAUGAAAAAACUCUUCUCAAGGGAUUUCAGCUCUUUGAAUCUCAUCGUUUUUAUUUCGUUUAGCUUGAAACUUGGUAUGUGAACUUCAAUUAUGAU
rnacentral:lncRNA from 1 species